AGCUUAGUGGUUAAGCAGUCGGCUGCCAACUGAAAGGUUGGUGGUUUGAACCCACU
rnacentral:tRNA from 1 species